rnacentral:rRNA from 4 species
UUGACCUCGGAUCAGGUAGGAAUACCCGCUGAACUUAAGCAUAUCAAUAAGCGGAGA